GAGCAGGACCAACCAUCCUUCAGUCCCUUUGCCACUACAGAAUCCCAGAGAAGUAGUACUGGAAAGAAGGAUGGGCCAUGGAAUCUAUUUGGACAACACAUCCUGAAGAAACACAGUUACUGUAAGCAGCAUCAAAGUAUACCUUCCAGGCUUCAUCUCCUUUCACUUCAGGGAUUUUUACACUACCAUUAGAUUUAACUUCAGUCAAAUAAUGGAAUAGGUUCUAAAGGUAUUUCCGUCUUCACCAAAGGCCUCAAAGGCAUCCAUGCCUGAGGGGAAACACCAAGUUCGUGCAUAGGCGUGAUUCCUCAACUGGGGCUGAAUCAUACUGAAGAAAACAUCUGGAGAACUUCCAUGAAGCCAUCUAUAUUAGUCUAUCCAGUUACUACUGCUUCUAAUGCUGACAGCUGUUCUUUGAUUUCACCUAUUAUUAUUCCAGUCCAUUCAAGCAGUGUAAUCUGAUUUAACAAGCAUGACUUUUUUUUUUUAAUAAAUCUUUUGUACAGUGCUGUGAAAUGAA